CCGACAUCAUGAAAGCCGUUUGUACCCGAAGUCGUCGUGCUAACUCGCAAGAGAGGCAGAUGGCCGAAGGUAUGGAUGGUGAUUGGGAGUG
rnacentral:rRNA from 1 species